CGAUUCAACCUCAAGAAGUCUAUCCGCGAAUGAAAAGUUUCAAUUUAAGCAAGUUUGUAUGCCAAAUAAUAACGAACUAAUCAUUAAAUUGACCUGAUAAAUUUAGAGUGGAUGUAGUACAAACUAAGAAUGUUCAGCUUUCCUAUCAAACACAUCAAAUUCGGGAAGUUGAUGUAAACUGAGUCCUUUAUUAGGUACAUAAUUCCGAUGUAUGUAAUGUGGUUUUACGAGUUGAAAAAUCAGCCCAAUGUCUAUAUAAUGACGGAGCUGUGCUUGGACUAUGUAACUAGGUUAUCGCAAGGCCAGCCGAGAUGUGCAAAAGUACCGUGAGCGAAGGUGGAACUUGCUAUUUCAUUAGCGGUCGGAAACAAGAUUCAAAUAUCAUGAGAUUAAAUUGUAUUAUUCAUAAAGUAGUGAAUUGUUAAUACAUAUAUAUAGUACAGUAAAAAUUCUCAGCAGCAUUGAAAACGCAUUUUCAUUUUCGUUAUUUGCGAAAAGCGAGGGAUAUUAUAUUGACAAAAAAGUAUCAAAUUCUCGUGAAAAGAAGAAACAUUUGAAUCAAAGAUAGUUUUAUGGAUGAAGAACAAGAUUUGUAAAGCAGCUAAAUGGCUUGACUAUUCUUAAGUUUCUGUCGUGAAUUAUUAAACAACAACAACACGGCGCGCUACAACGCGACGCGAAUUUAAUUUAAACAAGUAACAAACGACGGCGGUUUGUUUUGUUUUCGAAUAACAUACCUCUCCAUUUUAUGAAUGGAAAAUAGAAAAGUGGAUGCUUAAACGUAGGUAUUACAGGAAG